CUGAACUUGACCAUAUGUCCUUGGGUUAGGUCCUAAUGCAGCCUCAGUCUCAGCCUUACAACAUGAAAAUCUGUUUGUACUUUUUGGGAAAUUUGAGUGAUUCACCACCCUUUGAACAAAGGUAUAUUAAUUAAGGCCACCUCAAAGGAAUCCUAGAUUUGUCAAGAAGCCAUAUGUUUUAAUUGCUGCCUAACAAAUGGUAACAAUGUGUUUGUGUAAAUUAGAUUCAUUUUGAGGAAAUAGUUGGUGUACUGUGAGUGCACAUUCCUAAAUGAAUUCAUCAGUUUACAUUAAGGAUCUACCUUCAAAUCCUGUAAUAUGGUGUCUGGGAUACUCUAAAGUGCAUGUCACAGACUAAAGUAAUGAAUAUAACUUCCAAGAAUUUUUAAGAAAUUGUUAUAACUUUAAAAUGUAUGUAUAUAUACUGAUAUUGAAUUAAAUUUUAUAAAAUUUCA